rnacentral:rRNA from 1 species
UCCUCCCUCUGGCGGCGUGCUUAACACAUGCAAGUCGAACGGAAAGGCCCUGCUUUUGUGGGGUGCUCGAGUGGCGAACGGGUGAGUAACACGUGAGUAACCUGCCCUUGACUUUGGGAUAACUUCAGGAAACUGGGGCUAAUACCGGAUAGGAGCUCCUGCUGCAUGGUGGGGGUUGGAAAGUUUCGGCGGUUGGGGAUGGACUCGCGGCUUAUCAGCUUGUUGGUGGGGUAGUGGCUUACCAAGGCUUUGACGGGUAGCCGGCCUGAGAGGGUGACCGGCCACAUUGGGACUGAGAUACGGCCCAGACUCCUACGGGAGGCAGCAGUGGGGAAUAUUGCACAAUGGGCGGAAGCCUGAUGCGGCAACGCCGCGUGCGGGAUGACGGCCUUCGGGUUGUAAACCGCUUUCGCCUGUGACGAAGCGUGAGUGACGGUAAUGGGUAAAGAAGCACCGGCUAACUACGUG